UGUUUCAAUUUGCAGUGUUUGCCUUGAAGUUGAGCUCUUACUUCCGCUCCUCUGAACACACAUUUCUCAUGGAUUGGGCUUUUUGUCCAAAAUUAAAGAACUGUUACUAAACCCUCUCCUGGCUUUGGCCCUGAAACAGCCAUAGUAGCAUGGCUCUUCACGAUCCCUCCAUCAAUUCUCGUCAUCCUUCUUGCAUUUCAGUUCCUCAUCUCACAGCACGGGUGCAAAGCCUGCAGCUACUGGAGCUACUGACCUAGUCUGAAUGGGAGCCGCUCCUCCUGUCUACGGACUGUGUCGGUCAACUUCAGUGAGGGAUCUCUGCCUUAUUUCAGCCCGAGCCAGCUGGUUCAUAGCACAAACCUGCAGCUUCAACUCUUGGCCAGACACUCUUUUCCUGCAGGAUUUCCAGGGAAGGCAGAGCGGCGUUACCGGCUGUCUUAGCGGAGAGCGGUAGGUGGCACUGGAGCCCUUUCCCACCUGCUCUUGGCCGUGCGGAGGGAAUCUCCUGCCAGAGGCGGAGGCUCAGCUCGCCCAGGGCUGCAAUAACCCAGCUGCUCCCGCAGUGGUGCCAGGGUGGGCAGACCCUGGGGGAAGAGGGAGGCCGCCAUGGACAAUGAAGGUCAAGAACUGACUGCCACGAGUUGGCAUCUCUCCGCCGUCACCCACGGGCCUGCAUCAGAUUACUUUUAACCGAGGAGUUUGUUAAAGUGUUUUUCACGAGGAUGUGGGCAUUGCAAUGCUGUAUCAGAGCGCUGCUGUACCAGAAAGGUUUCUCCUGAAUGCAAUAACACAGCGACUUGCUCAUCAGACUUUGUGCGUGGGACGUUUAAAUGAAGCAGGAUAAAUAGGAAUGUGGCUGCGGACCCUGUGUAGAUCCUUGUGCAAAUCCUGCUGUGGGCGAAAUCCUGCUGGACACCGACGUCUUGUAAAAAGAGAUGCUGAGUUUCUCUCCCUGGGGGCAGGUGUCAACUUAUCCCCAGGAUAUUCUGUCACCUGUCUCCUCUUGGAGUUAACCAACCUGGAC